UGUAAGCGUAUACCAAAGUUGUUGCAGUUAAAACGCUCGUAGUCGGAAUUUGGCAGUUCCGGAUGUGUGCACGUCGUGUGCGCACUUCGCGGGGAUUGCUUUUGUGGUCUUGCGUAGGAUGAGGCACUUUUAUUAGUGAACGUCCUCACGCAACCACUUUUUACUGUGAGAAAAUCAGAGUGCUCAAAGCAGGCAUUUGCCGUGAAUGUAUUAGCAUGGAAUAAUAGAAUAGGACUUGGUUCUAUUUUGUUGGUUUGUUGGGACUGAGAAAUGAUUAAGAGGGACAGUUGGGGGCAUUUGUAUUUCGGUGCUAGAGGUGAAAUUCUUAGAUUACCGAAAGACAAACUGCUGCGAAAGCGUCUGCCAAGGAUGUUUUCAUUGA
rnacentral:rRNA from 1 species